UGAGGAAUAUUGGACAAUGGAUGGAAAUCUGAUCCAGCCAUGCCGCGUGCAGGAAGAAGGCCCUAUGGGUUGUAAACUGCUUUUGUCUGGGAGCAAUAAGGUCUAUGCGUAGACUGAUGAGAGUACCAUACGAAUAAGCAUCGGCUAACUCCGUGCCAGCAGCCGCGGUAAUACGGGGGAUGCAAGCGUUAUCCGGAUUUAUUGGGUUUAAAGGGUGCGUAGGCGGUUAGGUAAGUCAGCGGUGAAAUAUUUCAGCUUAACUGAAAGGGUGCCGUUGAUACUGUCAGGCUUGAAUAUGGUUGAGGUGGGUGGAAUGUGUGGUGUAGCGGUGAAAUGCUUAGAUAUCACACAGAAUAUCGAUUGCGAAGGCAGCUCACAAAGCCAUUAUUGACGCUGAUGCACGAAAGUGUGGGGAUCAAACA
rnacentral:rRNA from 1 species